UACGAAGGGGGCUAGCGUUGCUCGGAAUCACUGGGCGUAAAGGGUGCGUAGGCGGGUCUUUAAGUCAGGGGUGAAAUCCUGGAGCUCAACUCCAGAACUGCCUUUGAUACUGAAGAUCUUGAGUCCGGGAGAGGUGAGUGGAACUGCGAGUGUAGAGGUGAAAUUCGUAGAUAUUCGCAAGAACACCAGUGGCGAAAGGCGGCUCACUGGCCCGGUACUGACGCUGAGGCACGAAAGCGUGGGGAGCAAACAGG
rnacentral:rRNA from 1 species